CAUGCAGUCGAACGAUGAAGCCCAGCUUGSUGGGKGGAUUAGUGGCGAACGGGUGAGUAACACGUGAGUAACCUGCCCUUAACUCUGGGAUAAGCCUGGGAAACUGGGUCUAAUACCGGAUAGGAGCGYCCACCGCAUGGKGGGUGUUGGAAAGAUUUAUCGGUUUUGGAUGGACUCSCGGCCUAUCAGCUUGKUGGUGAGGUAAUGGCUCACCAAGGCGACGACGGGUAGCCGGCCUGARAGGGUGACCGGCCACACUGGGACUGARACACGGCCCAGACUCCUACGGGAGGCAGCAGUGGGGAAUAUUGCACAAUGGGCGCAAGCCUGAUGCAGCGACSCCGCGUGAGGGAUGACGGCCUUCGGGUUGUAAACCUCUUUCAGUAGGGAAGAAGCGAAAGUGACGGUACCUGCAGAAGAAGCACCGGCUAACUACGUGCCAGCAGCCGCGGUAAUACGUAGGGUGCGAGCGUUAUCCGGAAUUAUUGGGCGUAAAGAGCUCGUAGGCGGUUUGUCGCGUCUGUCGUGAAAGUCCGGGGCUUAACCCCGGAUCUGCGGUGGGUACGGGCAGACUAGAGUGCAGUAGGGGAGACUGGAAUUCCUGGUGUAGCGGUGGAAUGCGCAGAUAUCAGGAGGAACACCGAUGGCGAAGGCAGGUCUCUGGGCUGUAACUGACGCUGAGGAGCGAAAGCAUGGGGAGCGAACAGGAUUAGAUACCCUGGUAGUCCAUGCCGUAAACGUUGGGCACUAGGUGUGGGGACCAUUCCACGGUUUCCGCGCCGCAGCUAACGCAUUAAGUGCCCCGCCUGGGGAGUACGGCCGCAAGGCUAAAACUCAAAGGAAUUGACGGGGGCCCGCACAAGCGGCGGAGCAUGCGGAUUAAUUCGAUGCAACGCGAAGAACCUUACCAAGGCUUGACAUGUUCUCGAUCGCCGUAGAGAUACGGUUUCCCCUUUGGGGCGGGUUCACAGGUGGUGCAUGGUUGUCGUCAGCUCGUGUCGUGAGAUGUUGGGUUAAGUCCCGCAACGAGCGCAMCCCUCKUUCCAUGUUGCCAGCACGUCGUGGUGGGGACUCAUGGGAGACUGCCGGGGUCAACUCGGAGGAAGGUGAGGASGACGUCAAAUCAUCAYGCCCCUUAUGUCUUGGGCUUCACGCAUGCUACAAUGGCCGGUACAAUGGGUUGCGAUACUGUGAGGUGGAGCUAAUCCCAAAAARCCGGUCUCAGUUCGGAUUGGGGUCUGCAACUCGMCCCCAYGAAGUCGGAGUCGCUAGUAAUCGCAGAUCAGCAACGCUGCGGUGAAUACGUUCCCGGGCCUUGUACACACCGCCCGUCAAGUCACGAAAGUUGGUAACACCCGAAGCCGSUGGCCUAACCCUUGUGGG
rnacentral:rRNA from 1 species